GACGAACGCUGGCGGCGUGCUUAACACAUGCAAGUCGAACGGAAAGGCCCUGCUUUUGUGGGGUGCUCGAGUGGCGAACGGGUGAGUAACACGUGAGUAACCUGCCCUUGACUUUGGGAUAACUUCAGGAAACUGGGGCUAAUACCGGAUAGGAGCUCCUGCUGCAUGGUGGGGGUUGGAAAGUUUCGGCGGUUGGGGAUGGACUCGCGGCUUAUCAGCUUGUUGGUGGGGUAGUGGCUUACCAAGGCUUUGACGGGUAGCCGGCCUGAGAGGCUGACCGGCCACAUUGGGACUGAGAUACGGCCCAGACUCCUACGGGAGGCAGCAGUGGGGAAUACUGCACAAUGGGCGGAAGCCUGAUGCAGCAACGCCGCGUGCGGGAUGACGGCCUUCGGGUUGUAAACCGCUUUCGCCUGUGACGAAGCGUGAGUGACGGUAAUGGGUAAAGAAGCACCGGCUAACUACGUG
rnacentral:rRNA from 1 species